CGUGGUUUCCGUUCGUGCGAGCUAGAUCGUGUCCCAGCUAGAGUCCCCGCGGAGUGGAGUUCACCACCUUCGUCGUUGUUCCGCUGCUAGAAGAUUUCCGCUGCUUCGAGUUGUUCUGCUGCUAGCAUAGAGCAAGUGUAGUAUCGCAGGCAUAGUGUCGUCGUGCUGAUGUGAACCUUUGUAACAUCAGACCUUUGUAUUUAUUCUUGUAAUAAGAGCUGAUUUGUUCUAUGUCAAGCAGUGCCGUAUUGACUUCUCCUCAAUCUCUGGGCUGGAAUACGGGGCGUUCCGGUUUCUCUGAGCCGGGGUGCCACAGGCUUGGUAUCAGAGCAGGUCUGGCUGUAGGACGCCCUAGUCAGCGCGAGCGGUAGAAACCGGUAGUUUAAAGUCCGACUUGUUUAUUGCAUUUGGUUGCUGCAUUUGUUUGUUGCAUAGCCUACAUAUAGCAUCAUUAUUUGUUACUAACGGUUUAUCUGGUGAAUGUAGAUGGCAUCGGUUCGGAUCCACUAUAGCUCAGCCUCUGCAUUUCUCCAGUUCCUUUUUCUUUGGAUGUUUGGUGUCAUUUCUGUCCCAGCAGAGUGAUGCCAAGUGAUCCUGACACUGUUUGUAGAAAUGGUGCUCAGGUAUCGCGUUGAUGUCUUUCUUUCAGUCUCGCCUAUCGUUUCGGUGAUAGACAUGCUUCUAUCCCAGAUCAUUCUUUUAUUUUGUAGUGUUGGCAACCCUUAAUGAUCUUAGCUAUAAAAAAGGGCAAUGUCAACAGCCUCAGUUUUUCCCCGCUAUCCUUAUUUCUUGGACGAGUACAGAUCUUUUUCCAUCCGCUUGAUAAUAAUGUGGUUGCGACCUUCGUGUCCCACUACAUGGUUACCGAGUGAGUCCUCGCCUCCGAGCUAGUCCAGGUUGCUACCUGGCUAAGCUAGCACUUGGUGUAGCGCUGUUUACACCAAUUUUUCCACACAUUUAUUCGUCCUCGUGCACAUCGUCACAGCAUGCUAGUUCGUAGAACCAGAGAUUCCGCGAAAUUUAUGUGCUUAAGUAGACAUGCAUAUUGUGUGACUAGCAGUAAUAUGUGACAUUGAUUGUGUGUGAACUGAUUGUUGUUGUGUGCUUUUGUAAGUUUAGUUUUCUUUUGCUUCUUUCUUUUUGGGCCCCGGUGUUACAUUAUUUUCCCCUAUAAAGAGUUGCUCAUCAACUGACACCGGACUCGAAGAAGCAAUAAGGAUUUCAAAUAAUUGGAAGAAGCUCAACUGAACAUUAUGGUCCACCCAGUCAACUGCAUUAUGGCAUUAAUAUCUGCUCAGAAUACCAAUAGUGUCUUGGAUUGAUUAUCAGCAUCAUGUCCCCAUCAGUACCAAAUCCUCACAACAGUAAUGAUCAAGUCAGCAGCAAGACAAGUCAGGUACAAGCCCAACGGUAUAUUUUCAGACAGAGGUAUGGAUCAUAUACAAAGUUUUGGCUCAACAAUGCAUGAUGCUUGAAAUAUGUUAUCAUCCGAAAUAAAGUCAGAAUGUGACAUGCUCAAGGAAGACAGUCAAACCAUUUUUCUCAUGCAAAUAAUCAGCCUCAGAAUAUUAUGGGCGUGUAUGGAUUUCAGUCUGCAUAUCAGUAUGAAGUUUUGGAUAUAAGAAACCCAGUAUUAUUCCACACGCUAUCGGAAGAAAUUUAUGAGGCAAGGCUCCUCAAUUUUCCUUAGCAUGAUAUGUGAACAAUUUCCGACCCACGAUACCCGGUCUUUCUCAACAAGAUACCUCGGUAAAAGCUUAUGACAGACGGAAAUGAAUUUUUCUCAACAAGCAAAACCGAGGAGAAGCUUCUCAAGUACGGGACUCAGGCUUCUCCAGCACAAUAAUCAGACCAAGCUUCGUGUGUAAGCUAUAGAGCCUUUUUCUACACGAUACCCAGACAAAAGAUUUGAGCAGAAGUUAACAAGUCCUCCUCAGCAAGCUACUCGGAUGUCACGCCCAAGAUGCGACCCUAUCCUAAAGGAACUCGAAGGUCCCGCCUUGGAUAGAAGCGCAUCUUGAAGACGCUUUUGCAAGGUGGAUAUCAUUACAUCAACAUUACAUAAUAGAUGGGGAUACAUACAAGACAUACAAAUGCCGCAAGAAUACAUCAAUCCAUCAUACACAAGAUCAACAUCCGACUACGGAUGAAACACAAACAGGGACUCAAACGACAUCCACCCUGCUAGCCCAGGCUGCCGACCAGGAACCUAACCCCAGAUCGACGAAGAAGAAGAACUCCAACACAAAUAAACAUCGCUCUCGCAUCAUGAUGAUCGCAUAACAUGUACCUGCAACUGUUGUUGUAGUAAACUGUGAGCCACGAGGACUCAGCAAUCCCAUUACCAUGGGUAUCAAGACUAACAAAGCUUAACGGGUAAGGAAGGGGUAAAGUGGCGAGGUUGCAGCAGCGGCUAAGCAAAGUAUGGUGGCUAACUUACGAAUACAAGAGCGAGAAGAGGAGCUGAACAAGCGGACGACAACUAGUAAGGAUCAAGAAGUGAUCCUAAACUCCUACUUACAUCAAACAUAACCCCAAAACCGUGUUCUCCUCUCGAACAACCCCGAAAAGAGACAAUCACGGUUACGCACGCGGUUGGUGUAUUUUAGAAGAGUUUACUUCAAGUUUACUACAACCGGAUAUUAACAAAUUCCCAUCUGCCACAUAACCGCGGGCACGACUUUCGAAAGUUCAAACCCUGCAAGGGUGUCCCAACUUAGCCCAUUAUAAGCUCUCACGAUCAACGAAGGAUAUUCCUUCUCCCGGGAAGACCCGAUCAGUCUUGGAAUCCCGGUUACAAGACAUUUCGACAAUGGUAAAACAAAUCCAGCAAGACCUCCCGGCGUGCCGACACCCUGAUAGUAGCCGCACGUAUCUUAUCUCAGGCCACGACCGGAUGAGCAGUCCGUACAACUAAAACCAGGCCUCGAGUUUCCCUGAGGUGACGCUGCAAGGGGCUCUAGUUUGGACCAACACUUAGAGAAGCAUUGGCCCGGGGGGGGGGGGGCUAAAAUAAAGAUGACCAUCGGGUUAAUUACUCCCAAGGGAAAGGUAUAGGUGGUAGGUAGGCAAAUGGUAAAACCAAUGUUGGGCCUUGCUGGAGGAGUUUUAUUCAAGGCGAACUGUCAAGGGGUUCCCAUAACACCCAACCGCGUUAGGGACGCAAAAACCGGGAACAUAAUACCGAUAUGACGGAAACUAGGGCGGCAAGAGUGGAACAAAACACCAGGCAUAAGGCCGAGCCUUCCACCCUUUACCAAGUAUAUAGAUGCAUUAAUAAUAUAAGAGAUAUUGUGAUAUCCGAACAUAAACAUAAUCCAACAUGGAGCAAUCUUCAUCUUCACCUGCAACUAGCAAUGCUAUAAGAGGGGCUGAGAAAAUGCGGUAACAUAGCCAAACAACGGUUUGCUAGGAAGGGUGACAAAGGUUAGAGGUUCAUGGCAUUUUGGGGAGGCUUGAUAAGCAAGUGGUAGGUAAUACGGCAUAGCGAUGGCAUCGAGGCAACUAGCAUAGCAAUGAUAGUAAUAAGAUCCAAGGUGACGGUCAUCUUGCCUGAAAUCCCGCUAGGAAGAAGAACGAGUCCAUGAAGAAGAUGAAGCCACGAAGACGAACCAAGCGUAGACGGACGAAUCCUCACGAUCACAACGAAACGGGAACUAUCGAGAAGAAGCACACAACAUGGUAAACACACCACACAUGAACAAGGCAUGAUGCUCAACCAAGUAUGAUGCAUGACAAGGCUACAUGAGGCUACACAUGGCAAGAGAUGAUGGAUACAAGAACAACACAUCAAAGCAAGUUUAAAUGAGGCCGGAAACAACAUAUAACAAUUCCGGUAAAUCCCCAUAUGCAAAUUUCGAAAUUGGUCCAUAUCUGAAUAAACCUUAUGUUCAAGUUGUUAAAAAGCAAGUUAAGAUGCACCAAAUGAUCUACACGAAAUUCUAGUCAAGUUACAUAUAAAGUUCAUUUAAUUUGGAGCUACGGCCUAGAAGAUAUGAGCAAAAACAAGUUAAACAUGGCAUUGAUGCAAAAUGCAUUCAAACAUCAAGCAAACACACUCAAAACAUGGAUGCAACAAGGUAACAUGAAACUACAUGCAAAACUAAGCAAGUUUCAUAUAGAGCACACUCAAAGCGGAGCAACGGUUCAACACAUACACAUGAAACAAGUUUAAAGGACAAGCUGUCCAAAACAGCAACUAGGCAUCUUGCAAGCAUCAAAACAAUAUGCUAUAGCACCUCAACAUGAAAUCAAAUGACACGGACGUGAUGUACAGGUAAAGCAUUACAAAACAUGAACGCUGAGCUAUCUCCAGAAAUCUCUAGAACAUGCUCAAAAGGACAUGGCAACAUUGCAAAUAAUAACAGUUUCACAUACUUGGCAGAAAUCACUGUGCAUGGCAGAAAUAACAUAAGGUUGCAAUGUUUAGAGCUAUCAAAUAACAUGCUACAGAAACUUAUCAUGGCAACCAAAGGCAUGACAUGCUAGUACUAAAAGCAAUUAAAAAAACUCCUUAGUGAAAUUAUUCCAAAGAUCAUCAGAAAAGAUGGUAGCACCCAUGCAAACAUGGCAAAUGAUAUGACAUAUUCAGACUGAAAAUAACAGCACAUGGCAGGAACAACGACAAGUAGGCAUGUUGGUGAGCUUGUAAAACUCACUAUAGAGCAUUAAAUAGCAUGAAAAGGUAACCAACAGUAAGAAGACAUGUUCAUGAAGCUAAGAAUGGCAAUAUCAUAGACAUAGGGUGCAUGGAUAACUAGCAAAACACAUGGCAAAACUGAACUUAUUGUUAACAGGCUGACAGCAACAUUAUUUAGCAAUUUGAGAGCAAGAUUACAACAAUGUACAGCAGGUUAUAAAUGCAAACAAAAGCAUGGAUUGAUAGAGCAUCACAUUUGUAGCAAAACAUCCUUAGUGAACAUCUCUAUAUUAUGCAUAUAUUAAUUGGUAGCAUCAAGCAAAGAUAGCAACAUGAUAUACCAGUUUCAGCAUUGACAGAACAUUAAUAGCAAGUAGGCCACUUCACGAGCUUGAUGCACUCACCACAAGGCACAAAAAAAUACAUGGAUUGCCCCACUGUAAAGAUGGCAUGAAUAUGCUCCUAAAACAUGUAGACAUAAUGCUCAAAGGAUGCACACGCAAAAUGCAAAGAAAAUGACAAAUCACCAAGUUAUAACAAGUUUCAGCAGUUAACAUCAUAUAGCACUUUUGUAACGUUGAUUAGAGCAUCAAGAUGAACACAAACAAGCAUACCACAAUGGAACAAAAUGAAGACCGUCUCAUAAUGAACAAUUUUACAUAUCAUACACGCAAAUCGGAGCUACGGUCAUGGAGAUAUGAUGCAAUGAAUAUGACAACAGAAUGUAAAGUUUUCAGGACUUGGAAGAAAAACCACCUCGCGGAAACUGGACGCGGACGACCCGGGACGGAGAGAACCGGGACGGGGCACGCGUGUUUGGAUCAGUGAGCGGGUGGAUCUGGUCCCACUUCACCGGAUCCGGCCGGAGGACGAACUCCGGCGACGGCAGCAACUUCCGGCGAGGUGGCGACUGGCGGGGGAGGCACGGGAUGGCGCGAAGAGGAGGCGGGGCGAGCGGGCGGCGCCGGCGAGGGAGGACGGCAGCGGGGCUGGACGUCGGCGGGCGGAGCACGGCGGCGUGGGNNNNNNNNNNNNNNNNNNNNNNNNNNNNNNNNNNNNNNNNNNNNNNNNNNNNNNNNNNNNNNNNNNNNNNNNNNNNNNNNNNNNNNNNNNNNNNNNNNNNNNNNNNNNNNNNNNNNNNNNNNNNNNNNNNNNNNNNNNNNNNNNNNNNNNNNNNNNNNNNNNNNNNNNNNNNNNNNNNNNNNNNNNNNNNNNNNNNNNNNNNNNNNNNNNNNNNNNNNNNNNNNNNNNNNNNNNNNNNNNNNNNNNNNNNNNNNNNNNNNNNNNNNNNNNNNNNNNNNNNNNNNNNNNNNNNNNNNNNNNNNNNNNNNNNNNNNNNNNNNNNNNNNNNNNNNNNNNNNCUGGCGCGGGCUCGUGGGCCGGCGGCGCCUGCAGAGGUGGGAGGAGGCGCGGGGACACAUGGCGGCGGCGGAUUGGCUGCGGAGGCCGGCUGGACGUGUCCGGCGGCGCGGGGAGGUGGAAGCUAGGGUUCAUCCGCGAAAAAUGGAGGGGGAGGACCUAUUUAUAGGUAGAGGGAGUUAGGAGAGUCCAAAUGAGGUGCGGUUUUCGCCCACACGAUCAUGAUCCAAUGACCGAGAGCAUGGAGGGGGUUUGGAUGGGCUCAUGGGCUGUGGUGAAGGGGUGCUGGGCUGCAAAGAGAGAGGGGUUUCGGGCUACGCGGUUAACCGUUAGGGCGUCAAACGAACUCCGAAUGCGACAAAAAUUGACAGGCGGUCUUGUUGGAAAUAUGCCCUAGAGGCAAUAAUAAAAUGGUUAUUAUUAUAUUUCCUUGUUCAUGAUAAUUGUCUAUUGUUCAUGCUAUAAUUGUGUUAUCCGGAAAUCGUAAUACAUGUGUGAAUACAUAGACCACAACGUGUCCCUAGUAAGCCUCUAGUUGACUAGCUCGUUGAUCAACAGAUAGUCAUGGUUUCCUGACUAUGGACAUUGGAUGUCAUUGAUAACGGGAUCACAUCAUUAGGAGAAUGAUGUGAUGGACAAGACCCAAUCCUAAGCAUAGCACAAAGAUCGUGUAGUUCGUUUGCUAGAGCUUUUCCAAAUGUCAAGUAUCAUUUCCUUAGACCAUGAGAUUGUGCAACUCCCGGAUACCGUAGGAGUGCUUUGGGUGUGCCAAACGUCACAACGUAACUGGGUGGCUAUAAAGGUGCACUACGGGUAUCUCCGAAAGUGUCUGUUGGGUUGGCACGAAUCGAGACUGGGAUUUGUCACUCCGUUUGACGGAGAGGUAUCUCUGGGCCCACUCGGUAAUGCAUCAUCAUAAUGAGCUCAAUAUGACCAAGUGUUUGGUCACGGGAUCAUGCAUUACGGUACGAGUAAAGUGACUUGCCGGUAACGAGAUUGAACGAGGUAUUGGGAUACCGACGAUCGAAUCUCGGGCAAGUAACGUACCGAUUGACAAAGGGAAUUGUAUACGGGAUUGAUUGAAUCCUCGACAUCGUGGUUCAUCCGAUGAGAUCAUCGUGGAACAUGUGGGAGCCAACAUGGGUAUCCAGAUCCUGCUGUUGGUUAUUGACCGGAGAGUCGUCUCGGUCAUGUAUGCAUGUCUCCCGAACCCGUAGGGUCUACACACUUAAGGUUCGGUGACGCUAGGGUUGUAGAGAUAUUAGUAUGCGGAAACCCGAAAGUUGUUCGGAGUCCCGGAUGAGAUCCCGGACGUCACGAGGAGUUCCGGAAUGGUCCGGAGGUGAAGAAUUAUAUAUAGGAAGUCCAGUUUCGGCCACCGGGAAAGUUUCGGGGGUUAUCGGUAUUGUACCGGGACCACCGGAAGGGUCCCGGGGGUCCACCGGGUGGGGCCACUUAUCCCGGAGGGCCCCAUGGGCUGAAGUAGGGAGGGGAACCAGCCACUGGUGGGCUGGUGCGCCCCCCUUGGGCCUCCCCUGCGCCUAGGGUUGGAAACCCUGGGGGUGGGGGGGCGCCCCACUUGGCUUGGGGGGCAAGCCACCCCCUUGGCCGCCGCCCCCUGGAGAUGGGAUCUCCCAGGGCCGGCGCCCCCCAGGGACCCUAUAUAUAGUGGGGGGGGGGAGGGCAGCAGUACCCUAGCCCCUGGCGCCUCCCUCUCCCUCCCGUGACACCUCUCCCUCCUGCUUGCUCUUGGCGUAGCCCUGCCGGGAUCCCCGCUACUUCCACCACCACGCCGUCGUGCUGCUGGAUCUCCAUCAACCUCUCCUUCCCCCUUGCUGGAUCAAGAAGGAGGAGACGUCGCUGCUCAGUACGUGUGUUGAACACGGAGGUGCCGUUCGUUCGGCGCUCGGUCAUCAGUGAUUUGGAUCACGACGAGUACGACUCCAUCAACCCCGUUCACUUGAACGCUUCCGCUCGCGAUCUACAAGGGUAUGUAGAUGCACUCCUCUCCCUCGUUGCUAGAUGACUCCAUAGAUUGAUCUUGGUGAUGCGUAGAAAAUUUUAAAUUUCUGCUACGAUCCCCAACAGUGGCAUCAUGAGCCAGGCCUAUGCGUAGUUUCUAUGCACGAGUAGAACACAAGCUUGUUGUGGGCGUAGAUGUUGUCAAUUUCCUUGCCACUACUAGUCUUAUCUUGUUUCGGCGGCAUUGUGGGAUGAAGCGGCCCGGACCGACCUUACACGUACGCGUACGUGAGACAGGUUCCACCGACUGACAUGCACUAGUUGCAUAAGGUGGCUAGCGGGUGUCUGUCUCUCCCACUUUAAUCGGAACGGAUUCGAUGAAAAGGGUCCUUAUGAAGGGUAAAUAGAAAUUGGCAUAUCACGUUGUGGUUUUACGUAGGUAAGAAACGUUCUUGCUAGAAACCUAUAGAAGCCACGUAAAAACUUGCAACAACAAUUAGAGGACGUCUAUCUUGUUUUUGCAGCAUAUGCCUUGUGAUGUGAUAUGGCCAAAAGGAUGUGAUGAAUGAGAUAUGUGUGAUGUAUGAGAUUGAUCAUGUUCUUGUAAUAGGAAUCACGACUUGCAUGUCGAUGAGUAUGACAACCGGCAGGAGCCAUAGGAGUUGUCUUUAUUUUUUGUAUGACCCGCGUGUCAUUGAAUAACGCCAUGUAAAGUACUUUACUUUAUUGCUAAACACGUUAGCCAUAGAAGUAGAGGUAAUCGUUGGCGUGACAACUUCAUGAAGACACGAUGAUGGAGAUCAUGGUGUCAUGCCGGUGACGAAGAUGAUCAUGGCGCCCCGAAGAUGGAGAUCAAAGGAGCAAAAUGAUAUUGGCCAUAUCAUGUCACUAUUUGAUUGCAUGUGAUGUUUAUCAUGUUUUACAUCUUAUUUGCUUAGAACGACGGUAGCUUAAAUAAGAUGAUCCCUCGCAAUAAUUUCAAGAAAGUGUUCCCCCUAACUGUGCACCGUUGCGAAGGUUCGUUGUUUCGAAGCACCACGUGAUGAUCGGGUGUGAUAGAUUCUAACGUUCGAAUACAAUGGGUGUAAGCCAGAUUUACACACGCAAUACACUUAGGUUGACUUGACGAGCCUAGCAUGUACAGACAUGGCCUCGGAACACGGAAGACCGAAAGGUCGAGCAUGAGUCGUAUAGAAGAUACGAUCAACAUGAAGAUGUUCACCGAUGUUGACUAGUCCGUCUCACGUGAUGAUCGGACACGGCCUAGUUGACUCGGAUCAUGUUUCACUUAGAUGACUAUGAGGGAUGUCUAUCUGAGUGGGAGUUCAUUGAAUAAUUUGAUUAGAUGAACUUAAUUAUCAUGAACUUAGUCUAAAAUCUUUACAAUAUGUCUUGUAGAUCAAAUGGCCCACGUUGCCCUCAACUUCAACGCGUUCCUAGAGAAAACCAAGCUGAAAGAUGAUGGCAGCAACUAUACGGACUGGGUCCGGAACCUGAGGAUCAUCCUCAUAGCUGCCAAGAAAGAUUAUGUCCUAGAAGCACCGCUAGGUGAAGCACCAAUCCUAGAGAACCAAGACGUUAUGAACGCUUGGCAGUCACGUGCUGAUGAUUACUCCCUCGUUCAGUGCGGCAUGCUUUACAGCUUAGAACCGGGGCUCCAAAAGCGUUUUGAGCAACACGGAGCAUAUGAGAUGUUCGAAGAGCUGAAAAUGGUUUUCCAAGCUCAUGCCCGGGUCGAGAGAUAUGAAGUCUCUGACAAGUUCUUUAGUUGUAAGAUGGAGGAAAACAGUUCUGCCAGUGAGCACAUACUCAGAAUGUCUAGGUUACACAACCGCUUGACUCAGCUGGGAGUUAAUCUCCCGGAUGAUGCGGUCAUUGACAGAAUCCUUCAGUCGCUUCCACCGAGCUACAAGAGCUUUGUGAUGAACUUCAAUAUGCAGGGGAUGGAAAAGACCAUUCCUGAGGUAUAUUCAAUGCUGAAAUCAGCGGAGGUGGAGAUCAGAAAGGAACAUCAAGUGUUGAUGGUGAAUAAAACCACUAAGUUCAAGAAAGGCAAGGGUAAGAAGCACUUCAAGAAGGACGGCAAGGGAGUUGCCGCGCCCGGUAAGGCAGUUACCGGGAAGAAGCCAAAGAAUGGACCCAAGCCUGAGACUGAGUGCUUUUAUUGCAAGGGAAGUGGUCACUGGAAGCGGAAUUGCCCCAAAUACUUAGCAGACAAGAAGGCCGGCAACACCAAAGGUAUAUGUGAUAUACAUGUAAUUGAUGUGUACCUUACCAGUACUCGUAGUAGCUCCUGGGUAUUUCAUACCGGUGCGGUUGCUCAUAUUUGUAACUCAAAACAGGAGCUGCGGAAUAAACGGAGACUGGCGAAGGACGAGGUGACGAUGCGCGUCGGGAAUGGUUCCAAGGUCGAUGUGAUCGCCGUCGGCACGCUACCUCUGCAUUUACCUACGGGAUUAGUUUUAAACCUCAAUAAUUGUUAUUUAGUGCCAGCUUUGAGCAUGAACAUUGUAUCAGGAUCUCGUUUAAUGCGAGAUGGCUACUCAUUUAAAUCCGAGAAUAAUGGUUGUUCUAUUUAUAUGAGAGAUAUGUUUUAUGGUCAUGCCCCGCUGGUUAAUGGUUUAUUCUUAAUGAAUCUCGAACGUAGUGUUACACAUAUUCAUAGUGUGAAUACCAAAAGAUGUAAGGUUGAUAAUGAUAGUCCCACAUACUUGUGGCACUGCCAUCUUGGUCACAUUGGUGUCAAACACAUGAAGAAGCUCCAUGCUGAUGGACUUUUACAGUCUCUUGAUUAUGAAUCAUUUGACACGUGCGAACCAUUCCUCAUGGGUAAGAUGACCAAGACUCCAUUCUCCGGAACAAUGGAGAGAGCAACCAACUUAUUGGAAAUCAUACAUACUGAUGUGUGCGGUCCAAUGAGUGUUGAGGCUCGCGGUGGCUAUCGUUAUGUUCUCACUCUCACUGAUGACUUGAGUAGAUAUGGGUAUGUCUACCUAAUGAAACACAAGUCUGAGACCUUUGAAAAGUUCAAGGAAUUUCAGAGUGAGGUUGAGAAUCAACGUGACAGGAAAAUAAAGUUCUUACGAUCAAAUCAUGGAGGGGAAUAUUUGAGUCACGAAUUUGGCACACACUUAAGGAAAUGUGGAAUAGUUUCACAACUCACGCCGCCUGGAACACCUCAGCGAAAUGGUGUGUCCGAACGUCGUAAUCGCACUCUAUUGGAUAUGGUGCGAUCUAUGAUGUCUCUUACCGAUCUACCACUCUCAUUUUGGGGCUAUGCUUUAGAGACUGCCUCAUUCACUUUAAAUAGGGCUCCGUCGAAAUCCGUUGAGACGACACCGUAUGAAUUAUGGUUUGGGAAGAAACCUAAGCUGUCAUUUCUAAAAGUUUGGGGAUGCGAUGCUUAUGUCAAGAAACUUCAACCUGAAAAGCUCGAACCCAAGUCGGAAAAAUGCAUCUUCAUAGGAUACCCUAAGGAAACCAUUGGGUAUACCUUCUACCUCAGAUCCGAAGGCAAGAUUUUUGUUGCCAAGAACGGGUCCUUUCUGGAGAAAGAGUUUCUCUCGAAGGAAGUAAGUGGGAGGAAAGUGGAACUUGAUGAGGUGAUAGUCACCCCUUCCGAACCGGAAAGUAGCGCAGCGCGGGAAGAUGUGCCUGUGGUGCCUGCACCGACUGGGGAGGAAGCUAAUGAUGAUGAUCAUGAAGCUUCAGAUCAAGUUACUACUGAACUUCGUAGGUCCACAAGGACACGUUCCACACCAGAGUGGUAUGGCAACCCUGUCCUGGAAAUCAUGUUGUUAGACAACGGUGAACCUUCGAACUAUGAAGAAGCAAUGGCGGGCCCAGAUUUCGACAAAUGGCUAGAAGCCAUGAAAUCCGAGAUAUGAUCCAUGUAUGAAAACGAAGUAUGGACUUUGACUGACUUGCCCGAUGAUCGGCGAGCGAUAGAAAACAAAUGGAUCUUUAAGAAGAAGACAGACGCGGAUGGUAAUGUGACCAUCUAUAAGGCUCGACUUGUCGCUAAGGGUUAUCGACAAGUUCAAGGGGUUGACUACGAUGAGACUUUGUCACCCGUAGCAAAGCUGAAGUCCGUCCGAAUCAUGUUAGCAAUUGCCGCAUUCUAUGAUUAUGAGAUAUGGCAAAUGGACGUCAAAACGGCAUUCCUUAACGGCUUCCUUAAGGAAGAAUUGUAUAUGAUGCAGCCGGAAGGUUUUGUCGAUCCUAAGAAUGCUAACAAGGUAUGCAAGCUCCAGCGCUCCAUCUAUGGGCUGGUGCAAGCAUCUCAGAGUUGGAACAUUCGAUUUGAUGAGAUGAUCAAAGCGUUUGGGUUUACACAGACUUAUGGAGAAGCCUGUGUUUACAAGAAAGUGAGUGGGAGCUCUGUAGCAUUUCUCUUAUUAUAUGUGGAUGACAUACUAUUGAUGGGAAAUGAUAUAGAAUUCUUGGAAAGUAUAAAGGUCUAUUUGAAUAAGUGUUUUUCAAUGAAGGACCUUGGAGAAGCUGCUUAUAUAUUAGGCAUCAAGAUCUAUAGAGAUAGAUCAAGACGCCUCAUUGGUCUUUCACAAAGUAUGUACCUUGACAAGAUAUUGAAGAAGUUCAAUAUGGAUCAGUCAAAGAAGGGGUUCUUGCCUGUAUUGCAAGGUGUGCAAUUGAGCAUGGCUCAAUGCCCGACCACGACAGAAGAUAGAGAAAAGAUGAGUGUCAUCCCCUAUGCCUCGGCCAUAGGGUCUAUUAUGUAUGCCAUGCUGUGUACCAGACCUGAUGUAAACCUUGCCGUAAGUUUGGUAGGAAGGUACCAAAGUAAUCCUGGCAUGGAACACUGGACAACGGUCAAGAAUAUCCUGAAGUACCUGAAAAGGACUAAGGAUAUGUUUCUCGUAUAUGGAGGUGACGAAGAGCUCGUCGUAAAGGGUUACGUCGACGCUAGCUUCGACACAGAUCUGGAUGACUCUAAGUCACAAUCCGGAUACGUGUAUAUUUUGAAUGGAGGGGCAGUAAGCUAGUGCAGUUGCAAGCAAAGCGUCGUGGCGGAAUCUACAUGUGAAGCGGAAUACAUGGCGGCCUCAGAGGCAGCACAGGAAGCAAUCUGGAUAAAGGAGUUCAUUACCGACCUAGGGGUGAUUCCCAAUGCGUCGGGCCCGAUGACUCUCUUCCGUGACAACACUUGAGCUAUUGCCCUUGCCAAGGAGCCCAGGUUUCACAGGAAGACCAGGCAUAUCAAGCGUCGCUUCAACUCCAUUCGUGAAAAUGUUCAAAAUGGAGACAUAGAUAUUUGUAAAGUACAUACGGACCUGAAUGUAGUAGAUCCGUUGACUAAACCUCUCCCUAGAGCAAAACAUGAUCAACACCAGAACUCUAUGGGUGUUCGAUUCAUCACAAUGUAACUAGAUUAUUGACUCUAGUGCAAGUGGGAGACUGUUGGAAAUAUGCCCUAGAGGCAAUAAUAAAAUGGUUAUUAUUAUAUUUCCUUGUUCAUGAUAAUUGUCUAUUGUUCAUGCUAUAAUUGUGUUAUCCGGAAAUCGUAAUACAUGUGUGAAUACAUAGACCACAAUGUGUCCCUAGUAAGCCUCUAGUUGACUAGCUCGUUGAUCAACAGAUAGUCAUGGUUUCCUGACUAUGGACAUUGUAUGUCAUUGAUAACGGGAUCACAUCAUUAGGAGAAUGAUGUGAUGGACAAGACCCAAUCCUAAGCAUAGCACAAAGAUCGUGUAGUUCGUUUGCUAGAGCUUUUCCAAAUGUCAAGUAUCAUUUCCUUAGACCAUGAGAUUGUGCAACUCCCGGAUACCGUAGGAGUGCUUUGGGUGUGCCAAACGUCACAACGUAACUGGGUGGCUAUAAAGGUGCACUACGGGUAUCUCUGAAAGUGUCUGUUGGGUUGGCACGAAUCUAGACUGGGAUUUGUCACUCCGUUUGACGGAGAGGUAUCUCUGGGCCCACUCGGUAAUGCAUCAUCAUAAUGAGAUCAAUAUGACCAAGUGUUUGGUCACGGGAUCAUGCAUUACGGUACGAGUAAAGUGACUUGCCGGUAACGAGAUUGAACGAGGUAUUGGGAUACCGACGAUCGAAUCUCGGGCAAGUAACGUACCGAUUGACAAAGGGAAUUGUAUACGGGAUUGAUUGAAUCCUCGACAUCGUGGUUCAUCCGAUGAGAUCAUCGUGGAACAUGUGGGAGCCAACAUGGGUAUCCAGAUCCCGCUGUUGGUUAUUGACCGGAGAGUCGUCUCGGUCAUGUCUGCAUGUCUCCCGAACCCGUAGGGUCUACACACUUAAGGUUCGGUGACGCUAGGGUUGUAGAGAUAUUAGUAUGCAGAAACACGAAAGUUGUUCGGAGUCUCGGAUGAGAUCCCGGACGUCACGAGAAGUUCCGGAAUGGUCCGAAGGUGAAGAAUUAUAUAUAGGAAGUCCAGUUUCGGCUACCGGGAAAGUUUCGGGGGUUAUCGGUAUUGUACCGGGACCACCGGAAGGGUCCCGGGGGUCCACCGGGUGGGGCCACCUAUCCCGGAGGGCCCCAUGGGCUGAAGUGGGGAGGGGAACCAGCCACUGGUGGGCUGGUGCGCCCCCCUUGGGCCUCCCCUGCGCCUAGGGUUGGAAACCCUGGGGGUGGGGGGGCGCCCCACUUGGCUUGGGGGGCAAGCCACCCCCUUGGCCGCCGCCCCCUGGAGAUGGGAUCUCCCAGGGCCGGCGCCCCCCCAGGGACCCUAUAUAUAGUGGGGGGAGGGAGGGCAGCAGUACCCUAGCCCCUGGCGCCUCCCUCUCCCUCCCGUGACACCUCUCCCUCCCGCUUGCUCUUGGCGAAGCCCUGCCGGGAUCCCCGCUACUUCCACCACCACGCCGUCGUGCUGCUGGAUCUCAUUCAACCUCUCCUUCCCCCUUGCUAGAUCAAGAAGGAGGAGACGUCACUGCUCAGUACGUGUGUUGAACGCGGAGGUGCUGUUCGUUCGGCGCUCGGUCAUCAGUGAUUUGGAUCACGACGAGUACGACUCCAUCAACCCCGUUCACUUGAACGCUUCCGCUCGCGAUCUACAAGGGUAUGUAGAUGCACUCCUCUCUCUCGUUGCUAGAUGACUCCAUAGAUUGAUCUUGGUGAUGCGUAGAAAAUUUUAAAUUUCUGCUACGAUCCCCAACAGGUCUACCUACUCUAAAACAACACCGCACGCCAAGUUGCAUCCCAUUCCGAGAACAUUUAAAUGCCACUCACGAAACGAGGUCUGAGAGGGGCAACGGGUGCGUGUUUGAGUGUCGGAACGUGAAACAGACAACGGGGCAAAGGACCUGAUGCAAGUUUUGAAAACAUGAGGAUGCAAUGCAGAUGAUGACAUGGCAAAGAUGCAACACGCAAGCGAAUGACAUGGCAAAGGCGGCGAAUAACUGGAAGACACCUGGCGCAUCAGAUCCGGGGCGUUGCAUCUCUCCUCCACUAACAAGAGAUCUCGUCCCGAGAUCUUAGGAACAAGACGGAAUAAAAGAGGAUGAGGUGAAACAAGAACAAAAGAGAGAGGAUGAACAAAGUCAAGAACACUCGAGUAGGAAAAGAAACGACGAAUAUGACGAGAAUCAAAGCUCCGAAACAAAAAUGAAUUCGAAACCACUCCGGUUAGUACAAGAUAGAAGCGGAAUAAGAAUGAAAGAAUUUAGGCAGAACUCUGACUAAACAUGGAAAGUGUUGAGGAUAUAGACCUUAGAGUCACCCGCCAGGAGGGGCCGGGUUACUCAUAAUGGUCAUUGCCAGAAGCCCGGCGACAAGCCUGAAGACGGUGGGCCAAAGAUGGGCUUAAGACCCGGAUAUGGCUUAAAAGCCCGUAGUUACAAUCAUUAUUAUGGUAGAACUUGUAGUGUAAGGCAAGAAUAGUUGAGAGUCCGAGCCGGACACUCUUAUGAGCCGGCCGGGACUCUGAGAGCUGCGGGGCGUCAGCCUCCCUAUAUAAAGGGAGGACCCGGCAGCGGUUUAGGGACGAGAACGAUCUCAUCGAGAGCCGGGCAUAGCAGUUUAGCUCCCUGGUGAUCGUAACCCUAAUCAAUACCACCUCAAACUAGACGUAGGCUUUUACCUUCACCGUAAGGGGCCGAACCAGUAUAAACCCUCGUGUUCCUUGUCCCGCAUUAACCCCUUCAAGCUUCCUAGCUGCGAUGGCUCCACGACUAAGUCCUAGCUCGAGGACAUCUGCCGUGACAAUUCCAUGACAGUUGGCGCCCACCGUGGGGCUAGCGCACAGUGGAUUUGAGUUCUUGAAGGGCAGCUUCGAAGGGCUCAAGGGAUACGCCGUGGGCCGGAUGACCAAGAGUCGUCGCGGCAAGCUCUACAUCGACGAUACAAACUGGGGCCCCGACGCCGGCUCAAUUGAGUACGGGUACCGGGUCCCCUUCGGCGGAAUUCACGUGUUCAUCGGCAAGAUUGGUGAGCCGGGCCCUGAGCCGGAUCUCUGCGCCGAUCUCAUCGAGACGGCUCAGCAUGCACGUCCCGCCCGGGCCCGGCCUGCCGUAAGGCAUGCUUUUGCGGGAUGCGUCCAUGGAGGGAUCUCUGAUCGAUCUGGGUCUGGUGAUGAGACGGCCGCCGGCUCUGACGGCGAGUCGUCCACCGAUGAGUCAAACUCGUUGUAUCAACUUCAAGAUGGCCGGCUCAUGGGUUAUUCCGAUGGUGACAGUGUUCCGGACCCGUUUGAGCCGCCAAGUCAGGUUGGGGUCUUUAUGACCGGUGCACAGCCUGUUCAGAACCCUGCUGCUGGAGCGGGAAACCCGGUGCCCUCGCCGGCUCAGGUGCUAAUGGAUCUCACGGACAAGAUGACGGCCCUGUUAACCGCCACGGUUGACCCGGAGGAUCAAGCUCAGCAUGAUGCGGAGGUGGCACAGUUAAAAUUGGAUCUAGUGAAGGCUAAGGAGGAUCUGGCAGCGGAAGGGAUCAGGAUGGCUGCAGAGCGGGCGGCUCUCGAUGCCCAAACCCAGUUGAUUCAAGCGCAGUCCUUCCGGCUCACGAUGGAUCAAAACGCGUCCAAUGAGGUCCUGAGAAGGAGGCAUCAAAAGGCCCAAUCUCGACUCCCUCCGGUUUACAAUCCACGCAACCUCUUCAACACGCCAGGUGCAGGGUCUAGUAACCCGCCAGGGGUCAUAGUGCCCGGGUCUGGGACCCCUAUUCAGCCACAAGUGAUGGGGCCUCCCCAGGUGCCCCCUGCCCCGCCUCAGUACGUGCCAAUACCACCGGGUCAUUAUAAUAACCCGCUGGAGAACAUGGUCGCUGCGGCAGCACGGCUGGCGGCUCUCCCAGUCGACGGCGACUCUCCGACGGCUAUUGAAACCCGCCGGGUCAGGGAACUCCUUCAGACAGCACUGGCGCAGCAAGAGGCGUACUCCUACAGCCGGAACAGGAUCCACUCGACCCCUCGUCCAGGCCAGAGCCCGAGUUACAGCAGACACAUGGUCUCAGCGACUGGCUCAAGUAACGUCCGACGCCGUGACCCGCCCCCUGGCCAUGGCCCGGCUCAUAAUGGAGCCUUUCACGCAGCAGACCAAGACAGAGCGCGGCAAGAGGCGGAGCAGGUGCCUCAGUUGACGGCUUACCAGACUCCCCCGGCUUAUCCGACGACGUCCGUCGAUGUGGGUAUCCCUACCAGGACUGGGGGUGUCCCUUGCUUAGUGCCAGCUAUCCGCAAUGAACGUCUACCCAAGGACUUCAAAGGCCCUAGGAAGGUGCCCAAUUACACGGCUAACUUACAACCCGCAGCCUGGAUCGAGAGUUACGAGAUGCCCAUGGAACUACUGGAGGUCAGUGAGGCGGCAAUGGCCAAGUACUUCACCAUGAUGUUGGAUGGGACUGCCCGCACUUGGUUGAAAGGGCUACCACCGAAUUCCAUCGGGUCUUGGGCUGAGCUGAAAGCCCGGUUCAUCCAAAACUUCAAGGAUACCUGUAGGCAGUCUAUGUCAAUUGUGGAUUUGACUAACUGUAAGCAGCAGGAGGGUGAAUCCACGACGCAUUGGGUUCUCCGGGUCAAGGAGAUCAUACAUUCAUUAGAUAAGAUGGAUGCCGGCUCUACAGUUUUAAUGUUGGAACAGAAUUGUCGUUUCGUGCCCCUGAAGAUGAAACUCGGGCGGCUUAAGCGCGACUGCAAUGAUAUGGGUACAUUAAUGGCGGCUCUUGUCAAGUACGCCGAUUCUGAUGGUACCAAGGAUCCCCCUUCAGAUGAUGAAAGGGCAGGUAAGGGAAAGAAGAAUGGCAAUGGCAAGGGUCCUCAGCAUAACCCGGGGAACCAAGGAGGAGGCAAGCGCAAGGCCGAUGGCAGCCUAGAGUUUGUAGCCAACGCCAGCUCACAAGGUAAUAACCAGCGGCGCAAAGGGAGGCCCCCUCCCCGAGGCGGCGGGUCAGGCCCGACGCUGGAGCAACUGUUGAAUGAGCCUUGUCCAAGGCACGGCUCUAGAGAGAAGCCAGCGACUCAUCUAUGGAAGGAUUGUGCAAUCAUGAAGGCCUUUAAGAAUUACAAUGGCCCGGGCGGCGGCUCAGGCGCCGGCGGCUUUCAUAGCCCGGGCGGUGGCUCAAAUUCUAAUCCUCAGAACGGUCAAGGGGGCUUUAACCAGCAGUCUGGCCAGGGUCAUCAACAGCAGCAGGGGGGUUAUCAGACCAAUCCAAAGCAGCUUAGCGGUGGACAGUAUCAUGUGUUUACCACUAGUUUGUGCAAGCGAGAUCAGAAGCUUCACAAGAGGGCUGUGAAUGCUGUUGAGCCGGCGGUUCCACGCUACUUGCGGUGGUCUGAAGAGCCUAUAGUGUGGAGCAGGGAGGAUCACCCUCCACGGGUGGAUAAUCCGGGUCACUUGGCCCUGGUGGUGGCUCCUCAGGUGGGAGGAUAUAAGUUCACUAAGGUGCUCAUGGAUGGAGGCAGCAGCAUCAACAUCCUCUAUUAUGAGACAUUCCGUCGUAUGGGGUUGAUUGAUAAGAACCUCAGCCAGUCCAACACUAUUUUCCACGGGGUGGUACCUGGUAAGUCGGCUUAUCCAGUCGGCAAGAUUGAGUUGGAAGUGGCCUUUGGAGAUGAGAACAACUACAGGGUGGAGAAAUUGACCUUUGAGGUGGUCAAGAUAAGAAGUCCAUACCAUGCUAUAUUUGGACGGCCGGCUUACGCCAAGUUCAUGGCACGACCGUGUUAUGUGUACUUACAGCUCAAGAUGCCGGGUCACAAUGGGACCAUUACGGUUCACGGCAGCCGGAAAGUGGCUCUGGAGUGUGAGGAAGGCGAUGCGGCUUAUGCAGAAUCUGUUUGUGCAACAGAGGAGUUGAAGUUUUACAAAGACAAUGUUGACCCAACAGAUAUGACCUCUCUGAAAAAGCCAACUACAGAGCAAGAGCCGGCAAUGAAAUUUAAGUCGGCCGAUGAGACUAAACUUGUUGAUUUUCUUCCAGGUGACUCAUCUCAGCAGUUUAGCAUCAGUGCCAAUCUGGAUCCAAAAUAGGAAAGCGCGCUCAUCGAGUUCAUCCGUGAGAAUAGGGACAUCUUCGCAUGGAAACCUUCUGACAUGCCAGGUGUACCUAGAGAACUCGCUGAGCACACUCUUAAUGUUGAUCCAAAAUUUAAGCCGGUCAGGCAGUUCCUUCGGCGGUUUAAUGAAGAGAGGCAGAAAGCUAUUGGUGAAGAGGUGGCCCGGCUCUUGGCGGCCGGGUUUAUUGUUGAUGUUUUCCACCCAGAAUGGUUAGCUAACCCGGUGCUCGUACUCAAGAAGAACGGCACUUGGCGGAUGUGUGUGGACUACACAGACUUAAACAAGGCAUGUCCGGCUGAUCCUUUUGCCCUUCCCCGUAUUGAUCAAAUUAUUGAUGCUACGGCAGGUUGUGCGCGCUUAAGUUUCUUGGAUGCUUAUUCCGGAUAUCAUCAGAUUAAAAUGGCAGUUAAGGACCAGGAGAAGACGGCGUUCAUCACUCCCUUUGGAGCCGUCUGCUAUGUGUCUAUGCCCUUUGGACUCAAGUGUGCGCAGGCGACUUAUCAGCGUUGCGUGCAGAACUGUCUUCAUAACCAGAUUGGGCGCAAUGUUCAUGCUUAUGUGGACGAUAUUGUGGUCAAGUCCAUAAAAGAGGAAACCCUGAUAGAUGAUUUGAGAGAAACCUUUGAUAAUCUCCGGGUCUACAAAAUGAUGCUUAACCCGGCCAAAUGUGUUUUUGGUGUUCCUGUAGGCAAACUCUUAGGUUUCUUGGUUUCUGACAGAGGCAUUGAGGCUAACCCGGAGAAGAUCAAGGCCAUCACCUCCCUGGCUAAGCCGGCGUGUAUAAAUGACGUUCAUCGCUUGGCGGGUCGCAUCGCUGCUUUAAGCCGGUUUAUAAGCCGUUUGGGUGAGAAGGCCAUGCCCUUAUAUCAGUUGAUGAAGAAAACUGAUAACUUUGUCUGGAAUGAUGCAGCUAAUAACGCCUUUGAGGAGUUGAAGAAGCAGCUGGCAGAGCCUCUAGUCCUUGCUGCUCCGGUUGAUAAGGAGCCCUUAUUAUUAUAUGUGGCGGCGAACACACGAGCCGUCAGUGUGGCUAUAGUGGUGGAGCGCAAGGAAGAGGGUAAGGAGCAUCCGGUUCAGCGGCCGGUUUAUUAUGUCAGCAAAGUGCUCAUCGAGUCCAAACAGCGGUAUCCGCAUUGGCAGAAGCUUGUUUAUGGUGUGUUCAUGGCAAGCCGGAAGCUUAAGCAUUAUUUCCAGGGUCAUCCCAUAACUGUGGUCAGUUCUGCCCCUCUUGGCGAUAUCAUUCAAAACAGAGAGGCCACAGGGAGAGUGGCUAAGUGGGCUAUCAAGCUCGGACCUCAUGGUCUCAAAUACGUGCCACGCACUGCUAUUAAAUCUCAGGCCUUGGUGGAUUUCAUCAAUGAUUGGACAGAGUCACAAGUGCCCAAGCAAAAGCCGGAUAACACAUAUUGGACUAUUCACUUCGACGGGUCCAGGCAGUUGGAGAGCUCGGGGGCUGGAGUUGUAUUGGCUUCCCCUAAAGGCGACAAGUUCCAUUAUGUGCUACAGUUGAUGUUUCCCUGCACUAACAAUGCGGCUGAGUACAAGGCCUUUCUCCACGGUCUUCGGAUGGCUAAGGAGAUGAGCUUGAGCCGGGUAAGGUGUUUCGGUGACUCAGACUUGGUGGCUCAACAAGUAUCAGGCAAGUGGGACUCUAAGGACCCUCUCAUGGCGGCUUAUCGCCGCGAAGUUGAUGCCAUUGCUGGGCACUUUCAGGGCUACCAAGUAGAGCACAUUGAUCGCAGGAAGAACGAGGCGGCUGAUGCUCUGAGCCGGCUAGGCUCUCAGCGAAAGCCGGUGCCGCCUAAUACUUUCCUGGAUGUCCUGUAUAAUCCUUCUGUUAAGCUGCCUACAGAGGAAGACUUGGCUGUCCCUGACCCGGAGGCACGACUGGUGGCGGCUCUCCAUAUCAUACCGGACUGGACAAUGCCGUAUCUGGCUUACAUGACCCGGGGCGAGUUGCCUGAGGAUGAAACUUUGGCCAGGCAAAUAACCCGGCGGGCUAAGUCAAUGAUCGUUAUCGAUGGCGAGUUGCAUCAUCGCAGUGUUACAGGAGCAUUUCAGCGUUGUGUCUCCCCUGAGGAAGGUCAAGAGAUCUUGCGUGAGUUCCAUGAAGGGGAUUGUGGCCAUCACGCCGGCUCAAAGUCUCUUGUGGCCAAGGCUUUUCGUCAUGGUUUCUAUUGGUUGAUGGCUCAUGCUGAUGCAGAGGACUUAGUCAGUAAGUGUGAUGGUUGCCAAAGGUUCUCGCGACGGGCUCACGUACCGGCACAAGAGCUGAGGAUGAUCCCAAUUACUUGGCCCUUUGCGUUCUGGGGGCUUGAUAUGGUUGGGCCUUUCAAAAGGUCCAAGGAUAAGAAGACCCACCUUUUGGUGGCAGUUGAGAAAUUCACAAAGUGGGUGGAAGCUGAGCCAGUUAGCAAGUACGAUGCAGCCACGGCGGUUCAAUUUAUGAAAAAGGUGAUUUUCCGCUUUGGCUUUCCGCACAGCAUUAUAACUGACAAUGGCACCAAUCUAUCCAAAGGCGUCAUGGAAGAGUUUUGUCAACGAGAGCAUAUCCGACUUGAUGUCUCCUCAGUUGCUCAUCCUCAAUCCAAUGGUCAAGCUGAGAGAGCUAAUCAGGAGAUUCUGAGGGGCAUCAAACCCCGGCUUUUGGUCCCUUUGCAACGGACACCGGGUUGUUGGGUGGAGGAGUUGCCCUCCGUGUUAUGGAGCAUCAACACUACUCCUAACAGGUCUACAGGCUUCACGCCUUUCUUCAUGGUUUAUGGGGCAGAGGCCGUCCUCCCCAGUGACAUCCGUCAUGACUCACCUCGAGUGGCGGCUUAUGUCGAGGCGGACAAUGAACAUGCGCGCCAAGAUGCUCUUGACUUGUUGGACGAACAGCGUGAUGUGGCCGCAGCUCGCUCCGCGAUUUACCAACAAGACCUGCGCUGUUAUCAUAGUCGCCGGGUUAAAACUCGGGUCUUCCAGGAAGGCGAUCUCGUGCUCCGGCUCAUCCAGGAUCAAACAGAUGCGCACAAGCUCUCCCCGCCUUGGGAAGGACCCUUUGUGGUCAGCAAGAACUUGCACAACGGGUCAUAUUACCUCAUUGACAUUCGGGAGCAUAAAGAUUCACGUAAGUCGGAGGAAGAGACCCGUCGGCCGUGGAACAUAGCUCAGCUUCGGCCUUACUACACUUGAGCCACCAGCUCUCGUGAUGUACAUAUUUCUCUCAGCCAUGUAUAUAUUAUGAUAAGCAAUAAAGCAGGACAUCUGUCCCUUUUUCUCCUCCAAAUAUGCACGUGUUGUUUUCAUUGCAAAAUUACAUGAUGACUUGAAGGAGGAUCCGGCUUAUGAUCGUAUUCGAAUCUAGCCGUAAGCAAUAAGGUCACUUGGGGGCUUCCUGUUCAAACAUGGGUCGCAUUCGAACCAAAGAGAACACAGCUGUCGAUACCCAUUUGAUUGGCAAAGUGCCGAGAUCAUUGGGAGUUUUCUUUGAUCAUAUUUGAAUCUUAGUUUAACCCCUUUGAGAACCGACGUGGAUCGUAUUCGAAUCAACGUCGUUAAACAAUUCUUAAAGUCAUUUGGGGGCUUCCUGUUCAAACAUGGGUCGUAUUCGAACCAAAGAGAACAUAGCUGUCGAUACCCUCUUGAUUGGCAUCGCCACACCCACUGGGGGCUAUAUGAUCAUAUUCGAAUCCUAGCAUAACCCCUUUGGGCCGGGUCUCUGGUCGUAUCCGAACCGGAAGCCCCCAAGUUCCUCUGAUUUAUAGCAAGUUCCGUCUGUUUCUUUCCAAGUGUAUACGGCCGGGUCUCACUUUGCCGGCUUCACUUUGGUUUAUAGUGUUAGCUGAACACAAUGGGUGUUAUUAAGACAGGUAAACCAGAAUUUCGGUACCAACCUUCCUUUCCAGGUUAUCUAAGCCGGAAGUAUGCUUGCAGGCCGCUAAGUAUGUUAUUACGGCUGUAUUCAGGAUAUUAUUGAAGACCAGUCCUUUUUUGAUCUAUAUUCCGGGUUAUCUAAAACCUAUGAUUCUCAGGGCGGUCAGCCUCCUCGAGGUUUGUGAUUUGUCUUUCUCUGCAGGAUAGUUACAGGCAACUAUUUUGAGAGUAAGGAAAACAAAUGAUUAAUUAUGACCCGGAGAAACAUAAAGGAGACAAUUUCAACAGACUUCAGAAUUCAAGGCGUGCACGAUGGCACGACAAAGAUAAAGUAUUGAUCCUACUCUAUUACAAGACUCGUUGAGUCCAAAAGGGUGAGGCAUUGUUUGGUAAACCGCCAGCCGAGUUACGACGCUUGCUGAGUUGAAGUCUCCGGCUCGUUCCUAUCUCCUCCUCCGGCUGAUCCUAAGACCUGGAAAGUUGAUGACUUCCAGUCGUUGCCGCUGAGAGCUUCGAAUGGGGCUUCCUCGUCAAUUAACCCUGCCGGGUCAAUUUCCGGGGUGAAGGUGUGCUGACGAGCCGGCGGGAUCAAGUUGAGGGCUUCAUAGCGUGGAGUAGGGAUCCUCUGAUUUUCUGCAUCGUAACCCGGCUGAUACUUAGUCAGAUCUGUAUCAUUGCCAAUCAGAGUGGCCACCGGGCGUACGGCCUUCACGCAAGCUGCGAAGUCCUUCUGGUCGAAAGCUGAGCCGUCUUCCUUCAGGCUUGGAUAGCCAAGGGCGAUGUCCGCCGGGUCUAACUCCGGUAGGAACGCCUUGGCCCGGCUCAGCACGGCGAUUGCUCCGGCUCUUGCAGAGGCCCGUCGCAGCUCUUGGAUCCGUUGAGGCAGUACAGCGAGCCGGCGAAGGACUUCUGCCAGGUGAGUCGGCACCUCGUUGGAUAGGGCCACCACAGCUAAGGCACGCUGUGACCCGGUGUAGAGCUGCUCCACCAGGGUAUACACGGCCUUCAGCUUGGUUACCACGCUCUAGUUGAGGUUGGCACUUCUGGGACCUGUUUAACAGAAUCAGAUAAGCCGCCGACAAAGAUGAAUUAUGAGAUAUAAAAAUUCUAAACUUGAUGAAAGCCGGUGAGGCGACUUACCGAAGAUGGCGGCCACCAUCUGGGACACCUGGCGCUUUAGGACGGAGAGCUUCGCGGUCUUCUCGGAGAGAGUCUUUUCCGCCUGUUCAGCCCGGUUCACCAAUGCGGCCUUUUCUUCGGCCCACGCCUUCCGCUCAGCGUCAAACUCUGUCUUCAGCUUCUCUUGCGCGGCGAUGCUGGAUACAAACUUGGCGUUUGCCUUUCGGGUCUCCAUCUCUUGCAUCUUCAGCCGGUUCUUGAGAUCAGCCAUGUCAGCCUCUAGCUUCUUGCCAGCAGCCUGCAUACAUUUCCGGGUUAUGACAUGAACAGUUAUUAUAUAAGUCCCAAGCGUUUUCCAAGCAAAGACACUUGGCACUUGGGGGCUAAUGCAUAUUGAACGUAUCUAUCUACAAACCGCCGGCUCAAUUGAGUAAGCCGGAACCUAAGUCUACAACAUAUUCAAUCAUAAGUCGUCGACUUGGGGGCUAGCAUGGUAGAGGUAACUAUGCAGUAAGUAAGAGGACAGCAGAAUGAUACCUCAGAUUUCUGCUGGAUCUGGUUCACCAUGGCAACCUCUGCGUCCCGGCUCUUGUGCACUUGGCUGAUGUAGCCAGAGACGAGCUCUCCAAUGCUCAGGUUGGCGUAGUCGGAGAGGUCCAGGUUCACCCGGUGGGGCUGCAGCAACUCCCCCUUAGCGGAGCACUUGGCCAGCACGGUAGGUCUCCCCGGCUCAACGAACUCCGUCUGGGUGAUUACCACGUCCGGGUCGUCUGCUGGUGGAGCCGAGCUGGAGGCCUCCGGGUUAACAGAAGCUUCUGUAGUUGCCUUGGUAGUUGGGGCAGCAGCGGCCUCAGGUGCAGAGGCGGCUGGCGGCUCUUGAGCGGCUGCCUCUGGUUCAGGCAAGUCCGACUCAUCGACCGGCUUGGAUUUCUUCGCCCUCUUGGUGAUCUUGGCCUGGGCACUGAAAGGACAAAAAGAUUAAACACAAUAGGGUAAGUGAAGACAAGUAUAACAUGAGAUGGUUGUCAUUACCCGGGCGCGGUCUUGAAAGCCGGAAGACUCGACUGCAUAGAGUCGCCCGAAGAGGGGGAGGUCUCCUGAUAAUUUGAGUCAGAAGAAUUGAGUGGCUGACGGAUAACACCCGCCAACGGAUGAAAAGGGUACAAGUGGGAAAUAACCUCAGUUCGGCGCUUCCUCGAUGCGUCAGGUAGCCCGGAGGAGAGGUCGGUGUCCUUGUUGGUCCGGGUGUGACGCCGGCUUUCAUGAACCUAUCGCUUCAAAAUAAAUUGAGGGUCUUGAUAAGCUAAAGGAUGUGAAAAGCUUACUUUCCGGAUUACCCUUCGGACUUUCAGCUUUGGCAAGGGCUCCGAGUCAGAGGAAAGUGACAUUACCUCUUCAACCACCGGGUUACUUGCGCCGGUGUCAUCUUGUCAAUGAGCAAGUAUUGAUAAGGCGGACAGCAACAAACAACAAAUACAGCAAGGACUUAAAGGCUCAGGGGUUACCUCUGACUCGGAGCUGUCGCUUAAUUGCAUCAGCUCUGAAGCAGUAGGCCUGCUUCCUUUCUUGCGAGGGGCAGCUUUCUUGGCGGCUUUCUUCGCCUUUCUGGCCUUCUUGGCCGCCUCAUGGUCGUAUUUGACCCGCCAGAACUUAUCAUCAGCCUGAAAAAUGCAAUGAGGUUUUCUUAAAACAAUUCAGAUGAAAGUCAUGUACAAAUAAGAUGUUCAGAUCAACGGCUUACCGCUGGGGCUGGGUUGGUCUUGCAGAAGGGGGCUAGCCCGGUCCUUCCGCAGUCUGCCAGGCUCUCGUUCAAAAGAGCCUUGGUCAUAUCUUCUGCAACGUCUUCAGAAAGAUCGUUGCGGCUGUGUCUCUGAGGGUCAUCCUUUCGACCCGUGUACUCACACAUUAAGCCGGGGCGGCGGCUCAAUGGGAUCACCCGCCAUGAGAUCCAGACCCGGACCAGGUCGAUUCCAUUCAGACCAUUGCCCAGGAGAGCCUUGAUCUUAUUGAUAGUGGGGAGCAGAGGUUGGCGCUCCGCUUGAGUCAGCUUGUCUGACAGUGGGUGAGUCGGCUCCAGACGCGAGGGGCGAAAGCCGAGCAACGGACUCUCGUCAGCCGGCGACGUGUCUUGGCAGUAAAACCACGUCAGAUUCCAGUCCUUGGGGUGGCUGGGCGGCACUGCGUAAGGGAAAAGGCAGUCCCUACGCCGCUGGAUGGAGAUGCCACCUAACUCCAGACUUGGCCCAUUGGCGCACUCAUUCUGACGGUUCAAGUAAAAAAGCUCUCUGAAGAGCAGCAUACUAGGUUCUUCUCCAAGGUAAACCUCGCAGAAUACUUGGAAGUUGCAGAUGUUGGACACUGAGUUGGGUCCUAUGUCCUGAGGCCGCAGAUCGAAGAAAUUCAGAACAUCUCUGAAAAACUUUGAGCCGGGCGGUGCAAAGCCCCGGCUCAUAUGAUCCGCAAAAAUCACUACCUCCCCGUCCUUUGGCUGUGGUCUCUCUUCUGACGGGUCAGGGGCACGGUAGGACAUGACGUCCUUCUUGGGCAGAUAUCCAGACUUGACAAAAUCUGCUAGGGUCUCAUUGGUGACAUUGGACCUCAUCCAGUUGCAAGUAAUGGAGGCUUUGGGAGCUUUGGGAGGCAUGGUGAAAGUCGGCAGUCUAUGAUAAAAGGAAAAACGUCCGGGUUAAUUAUGAGCCGGAAGAAAUCUACAGUUCAAUGUCAAGUUGGCGGCUUAUGAAGGGGACUAAUGGUAUACAUUUAAGUGCAUCGGGCUAUUUAAGCCGCCGAGGGAUUGAGAGUAAUUUGAUUGUCUACAGGCCUUAUCACAGCUAAGCCGGAAAUUUUAUGGCGCAUGGUUUUCUUUAAGACGGAAGGCUCUACGGCGCGUGGUUUCUUUAAACCAGAACUGUAAACCGCCGAGAUUCAAUGAUUGCAGUUUUUUACUAAGUGUGGUAAACAGGUUUCACACAUCGCAGUAAAAUUUUUGGAUCAACAUGGUCGGGUAAAAGAAAAGUUUCUAGACCUAGAAACAGACGAGAGGAGGUUCUUGAGCUUGAACAAGGCUCUUAUGCAGUAAAAAGAGGGAUAUUUGCAUGAGAAAUGGGUCUUCAACGUCUACCGCAGUAAAUCUAUACAGAGCUAAGAUCAAAAAGGAGCAGUAAAAUUCAAAUCUACUGAGAGCCGCGAUGAACUACGAAGAACAGAGGAAGAACUAUGAAGCCCUAGUGCGGAUCUGCCCUAUGGAGUGGCGAGGGCUCACCGGAGCUGAGGAGGAGCGGAGGUUGCCGCCGUUUGUCUGGACCAAGUCAGGGUGAUGCAGCGGCCAAGGUGACGAAGACCGGGGGCGCGACGGCGGCGGCAGUAGCAGAGCUCGGGCAGGGGAGCAGUGGCGCGAGGAAGAAGAUGAAGGAGAGAGAAGUGGCUGAGAGCCCGUCGGGCCGGCCUAUUUAUAAGGCGAGCUCAUAAGUGGGCGCGAGAAUCAAGGAGACCACGGCGUGGUUAUCUCCCCACGAAACGCCUCGAUUUUCGGGAUGACAGUAAAGAAAAAGAUCCGUUGCGGAUCUGGUGGAGUAAAAACGGACUUAAUGGAAGAUGACGUCAUGGCGGAUUACCCGGAGUCCAGAGGAUGACGUCACGCCGGGUUAUGGCCUUCACAUAAUUGUAAGCCGGAGAUUUUCUGUCGAAAAGAUUGAAGAUUGACAUGAGCCGGCUCAAAUCAAUCUGGGGCCUAAUGUUGAGGAUAUAGACCUUAGAGUCACCCGCCAGGAGGGGCCGGGUUACUCAUAAUGGUCAUUGCCAGAAGCCUGGCGACAAGCCUGAAGACGGUGGGCCAAAGAUGGGCUUAAGACCCGGAUAUGGCUUAAAAGCCCGUAGUUACAAUCAUUAUUAUGGUAGAACUUGUAGUGUAAGGCAAGAAUAGUUGAGAGUCCGAGCCGGACACUCUUAUGAGCCGGCCGGGACUCUGAGAGCUGCGGGGCAUCAGCCUCCCUAUAUAAAGGGAGGACCCGGCAGCGGUUUAGGGACGAGAACGAUCUCAUCGAGAGCCGGGCAUAGCAGUUUAGCUCCCUGGUGAUCGUAACCCUAAUCAAUACCACCUCAAACUGGACGUAGGCUUUUACCUUCACCGUAAGGGGCCGAACCAGUAUAAACCCUCGUGUUCCUUGUCCCGCAUUAACCCCUUCAAGCUUCCUAGCUGCGAUGGCUCCACGACUAAGUCCUAGCUCGAGGACAUCUGCCGUGACAAUUCCACGACAGAAAGCGUAGAACAUGAACUUGAGGAGACGGAAGGAUACUUGGCUUGAGGAACAACACAAUGCCACCGGAAGAAUUGAAAGAGUGGAAUGAAAAGAACGGAGAAGAAAAUGACAUCUUCUACCACGAAUGAAUUUUAAAAGCAUCGUUACGAAGAAAAGAUUGAACGAAGUUGUUGAGAAAAUCAACAACAAAAGAAUUGCUUUUUGUGGACUUAUAGAUAACAUCUCAAAAUUAUGAGGUGAUCUCCGACCACAAGCGGAAAAGAUUGAAUAGCUGAGAGAGAACGAAGAAAUGCAAAACUCCACUUCAAAAGAAUGCAGAGAAUUAAUUGCGCUUCGAGAUGCAAGAAGAAAAAGAUACUUGAGCUCCUUCAACAAGAAUCUUGAUGAACACUUGAAGAAUGAAUUAAAUACUGACGAACCACCGUGAAAUGGGUAAGGAAGGGGUAAAGUGGUGAGGUUGCAGCAGCGGCUAAGCAAAGUAUGGUGGCUAACUUACGAAUACAAGAGCGAGAAGAGGAGCUGAACAAGCGGACGUCAACUAGUAACGAUCAAGAAGUGAUCCUGAACUCCUACUUACGUCAAACAUAACCCCCAAACCGUGUUCUCCUCUCGAACAACCCCGAAAAGAGAGAAUCACGGUUACGCACGCGGUUGGUGUAUUUUAGAAGAGUUUACUUCAAGUUUAGUACAACCGGAUAUUAACAAAUUCCCAUCUGCCACAUAAUCGCGGGCACGACUUUCGAAAGUUCAAACCCUGCAGGGGUGUCCCAACUUAGCCCAUUAUAAGCUCUCAUGAUCAACGAAGGAUAUUCCGUCUCCCGGGAAGACCCGAUCAGUCUCGGAAUCCCGGUUACAAGACAUUUCGACAAUGGUAAAACAAAUCCAGCAAGACCUCCCAGCGUGCCGACAACCGGAUAGUAGCCGCGCGUAUCUCGUCUCAGGCCACGACCGGAUGAGCAGUCCGUACAACUAAAACCAUGCCUCGAGUUUCCUCGAGGUGGCGCUACAAGGGGCUCUAGUUCGGACCAACACUUAGAGAAGCAUUGGCCGGGGGGGGGGGCUAAAAUAAAGAUGACCCUCUGGUUAAUUACUCCCAAGGGAAAGGUAUAGGUGGUAGGUAGGCAAAUGGUAAAACCAAUGUUGGGCCUUGCUGGAGGAGUUUUAUUCAAGGCGAACUGUCAAGGGGUUCCCAAAACACCCAACCGUGUUAGGGACGCAAAAACCGGGAACAUAAUACCGAUAUGACGGAAACUAGGGCGGCAAGAGUGGAACAAAACACCAGGCAUAAGGCCGAGCCUUCCAUCCUUUACCAAGUAUAUAGAUGCAUUAAUAAUAUAAGAGAUAUUGUGAUAUCCCAACAUAAACAUAAUCCAACAUGGAGCAAUCUUCAUCUUCACCUGCACCUGGCAACGCUAUAAGAGGGGCUGAGCGAAUGCGGUAACAUAGCCAAACAACGGUUUUCUAGGAAGGGUGACAAAGGUUAGAGGUUCAUGGCAUUUUGGGGAGGCUUGAUAAGCAAGUGGUAGGUAACGCGUCAUAACGAUAGCCUCGAGGCAACUAGCAUAUCAAUGAUAGUAAUGAGAUCCAAGGUGACGGUCAUCUUGCCUGAAAUCCCGCUAGGAAGAAGAACGAGUCCAUGAAGAAGAUGAAGCCACGAAGACGAACCAAGCGUAGACGAACGAAUCCUCACGACCGCAACGAAACGGGAAUUAUCGAGAAGAAGCACAUAACAUAGUAAACACACCACACAUGAACAAGGCAUGAUGCUCAACCAAGUAUCAUGCAUGACAAGGCUACAUAAGGCUACGCAUGGCAAGAGAUGAUGCAUACAAGAACAACACAUCAAAGCAAGUUUAAAUUAGGCCAGAAACAACAUAUAACAAUUCCGGUAAAUCCCCAUAUGCAAAUUUCGAAAUUGGUCCAGAUCUGAAUAAACAUUAUGUUCAAGUUGUUAAACAGUAAGUUAAGAUGCACCAAAUGAUCUACACGAAAUUCUAGUCAAGUUACAUAUAAAGUUCAUUUAAUUUGGAGCUACGGCCUAGAAGAUAUGAGCAAAACAAGUUAAACAUGGCAUUCAUGCAAAAUGCAUUCAAACAUCAAAAAAACACACUCAAAACAUGGAUGCAACAAGGUAACAUGAAACUACAUGCAAAAUUAAGCAAGUUUCAUAUAGAGCACACUCAAAACGGAGCAACGGUUCAACACAUACACAUGAAACAAGUUUAAAGGACAAGCUGUCCAAAACAGCAACUAGGCAUCUUGCAAGCAUCAAAACAAUAUGCUACAAGACCUCAACAUGAGAUCAAAUGACAUGGACGUGAUGUACAGGUAAAGCAUUACAAAACAUGAACGCUGAGAUAUCUCCAGAAAUCACUAGAACAUGCUCAAAAGGACAUGGCAAGAUUGCAAAUAAUAACAGUUUCACAUACUUAGCAGAAAUCACUGUGCAUGGCAGAAAUAACAUAAGGUUGCCAUGUUUAGAGCUAUCAAUAACAUGCUACAGGAACUUAUCAUGGCAACCAAAGGCAUGGAAUGCUAGUACUAAAACCAAUUAAAAAAACUCCCUUAGUGAACUUAUUCCAAAGAUCAUCAGAAAAGAUGGUAGCACCCAUGCAAACAUGGCAAAUGAUAUGACAGAUUCAGACAGUGAAAAUAACAGCACAUGGCAGGAACAACAAGUAGGCAUGUUGGUGAGCUUGUACAACUCACUACAGAGCAUUAAAUGGAAUGAAAAGGUAACCAACAGUAAGAAUACAUGUUCAUGAAGAUAAGAAUAACAAUAUCAUAGACAUAGGGUGCAUGGAUAACCAGCAAAACACAUGGCAAAACUGAACUUAAUGUUAACAGGUUGACAGCAACAUUAUUUAGCAAUUUGAGAGCAAGAUUACAAUAAGCUACAACAGGUUAUAAAUGCAACCAACAGCAUGGAUGAUAGAGCAUCACAUGUGUAGAAAAACAUCCUUAGUGAACAUAUCUAUAUUAUGCAUAUAUUAAUUGGUAGCAUCAAGCAAAGAUAGCAACAUGAUAUAACAGUUUCAGCAUUGACAGAACAUUAACAGCAAGUAGCCCACUUCACGAGCUUGAUGCACUCACCACAAGGAACACAAAAAUACAUGGAUUACCCCACUAUAAAGAUGGCAUAAAUAUGCUCCUAAAACAUGUAGACAUAAUGCUCAAAGGAUGCACACACGAAAUGCAACGAAAAUGACAAAUCACCAAGUUAUAACAAGUUUCAGCAGUUAACAUCAUAUGGCACUCUUACAACAUUGAUUAGAGCAUCAAGAUGAACACAAACAAGCAUACCACAAUGGAACAAAAUGAAGACCGUCUCAUGACGAACAAUUUUACAUAUCAUACACACAAAUCGGAACUACGAUCAUGGAGAUAUGAUGCAAUGAAUAUGGCAAUAGAAUGUAAAGUUUUCAGGACUUGGAAGAAAAACCACCUCGCGGAAACUGGACGGGGACGACCCGGGACGGAGAGAACCGGGACGGGGCACGCGUGUUUGGAUCAAUGAGCGGGUGGAUCUGGUCCCACUUCACCGGAUCCGGCCGGAGGACGAACUCCGGUGACGGCAGCGACCUCCGGCGAGGUGGCGACCGGCAGGGGAGGCACGAGACGACGCGAAGAGGAGGCGGGGCGAGCGGGCGGCGCCGGCGNNNNNNNNNNNNNNNNNNNNNNNNNNNNNNNNNNNNNNNNNNNNNNNNNNNNNNNNNNNNNNNNNNNNNNNNNNNNNNNNNNNNNNNNNNNNNNNNNNNNNNNNNNNNNNNNNNNNNNNNNNNNNNNNNNNNNNNNNNNNNNNNNNNNNNNNNNNNNNNNNNNNNNNNNNNNNNNNNNNNNNNNNNNNNNNNNNNNNNNNNNNNNNNNNNNNNNNNNNNNNNNNNNNNNNNNNNNNNNNNNNNNNNNNNNNNNNNNNNNNNNNNNNNNNNNNNNNNNNNNNNNNNNNNNNNNNNNNNNNNNNNNNNNNNNNNNNNNNNNNNNNNNNNNNNNNNNNNNNNNNNNNNNNNNNNNNNNNNNNNNNNNNNNNNNNNNNNNNNNNNNNNNNNNNNNNNNNNNNNNNNNNNNNNNNNNNNNNNNNNNNNNNNNNNNNNNNNNNNNNNNNNNNNNNNNNNNNNNNNNNNNNNNNNNNNNNNNNNNNNNNNNNNNNNNNNNNNNNNNNNNNNNNNNNNNNNNNNNNNNNNNNNNNNNNNNNNNNNNNNNNNNNNNNNNNNNNNNNNNNNNNGCUCGCGCGGGAGCGGGGCGGCAGCGGAUGGGUUCGGCGGGCCUGGCGCGGGCUCGCGGGCCAGCGGCGCCUGCAGAGGUGGGAGGAGGCGCGGGGGACACAUGGCGGCGGCGGAUUGGCUGCGGAGGCCGGCUUGACGUGUCCGGCGGUGCGAGGAGGUGGAAGCUUGGGUUCAUCCGCGAAAAAUGGAGGGGGAGGACCUAUUUAUAGGUAGAGGGAGCUAGGAGAGUCCAAAUGAGGUGCGGUUUUCGCCCACACGAUCACGAUUCAAAGACCGAGAGCAUGGAGGGGGUUUGGAUGGGAUCAUGGGCUGUGGUGAAGGGGUGCUAGGCUGCAAAGAGAGAGGGGUUUCAGGCUACGCGGUUAACCGUUAGGGCGUCAAACGGACUCCGAAUGCGACAAAAAUUGACAGGCGGUCUACCUACUCUAGAACAACACUGCACGCCAAGUUACAUCCCAUUCCGAGAACAUUUAAAUGCCACUCACGAAACGAGGUCUGAGAGGGGCAACGGGUGCGUGUUUGAGUGUCGGAACGCGAAACGGACCACGGGGCAAAGGACCGGAUGCAAGUUUUGAAAACAUGAGGAUGCAAUGCAGAUGAUGACAUGGCAAAGAUGCAACACGCAAGCGAAUGACAUGGCAAAGGCGGCGAAUAACUGGAAGACACCUGGCGCAUCGGAUCUGGGGCGUUACAUCGGAUGACUUCUCUCGUAAGCCAUUCAGUCUGCGUCAGUAUCAUACUAUUACACCGUCCUCAGAGAUUAUAUGAUGAGUUGGCAAUAUAUGGCAGUAUCGCUCAAGAAUCAGACUCGCAACAUUUUUGCCGGAAGCACAAGUCAGUCAAGGCAUAGGUCUUCUUCAGAAAUCAAGUGUCCGAUUAUGUAUCUUUCCGCACUUAUGGUGAACAUGUAUCCCCAGUCAUAUCAGUCACUCAUAUGAGAUGCGUCAAGGAUCCAGCAGAUAUACCUAAGGAGAGUAAGGAUUCAACAACCUCACGAGUCAAGUAAAGGAAAAUAAGCAGAGAUACAUCUCAUGAAUUACAAGGAUCGACAAGAUCUAGGGAUGACAUCACAGAAUCCACAGUCUUGACAAUGGUCAUCAAGGUCAUUAUUCCCGCACCAGACAAGGUGAUAUCAUGAAACCUUGUCACCUUCUUGUAUGAUUGGCCUCAGCAAUGAGCUCCGUACAACUACAAACCCCGAGUAUAUGUCAUAUAUGUGCGGACACAGGUCAGAAAAACAAGCACAAGGAAUAAUGUCAAAAAUAUUAAUCACAUCCAUGGUCAUACGAAGAAUCAAGGACAGGCGUGGCCAAGUUAUUUCAGCAAGGUAUCAUGACAAAGAAAAUCAUGACCGUUAAAAGGUGAGACCGACAACAAAGGUAUGAUGAUUUUGCACGACCAUCAGGGUCCGGAUACCCCAAGUCAGUUGGAGGCCAUAAUUCCAUAUGGAUCCACAAAGACAUAUACCUUCAGCGGCCUACUCUAUUUACAAGGAUUUUCAUAUCCCGCUGACCCGCUUGACAUGGUUAGUGUGGAAUAUCCAAGUCUGUUCUGUCAGAUCCAAGAUUCCUUUGCAACCUCAACAGUUUGACCUCAGCAGCAGUGUAAAAACAUAUCACAGUGUAUUACCAAAGAUGGGUGUACCGACAAAAUGAGAAAGUCAAAAGCCGAAUAAUCAGCUCAGACCCGGUAUACUCGCCGACGGAAUCAAGUACACAGUCAGUCUGUCAGGAAAAGCAUUUGUCCGUCAGCCCCCUGUCGGGCAAAGUCUCAAGAUGUAAAUAUUUGAGGUAUGACAUAGGUAUAACUCCAUACACCGUUAUAUUGCUCACGACAGAAGGCAGUCAAAUCUCUGGUAUAUGCCACAUGCUCGGGCCAAAGGAAAUAAAUCAAGAUAAAUCAGUGCCACCUAUGAGCGGUUAGAUCCCGUCAAAAGAUGGCCAUGAUUAAUUCUAAGCAUUUAUUGAACCGAGAAGGCUUGCAUUUAUUUGAAGCAACCCCAUGACAGAAGUAAAAGGGUUUUCAUGACCAAAGGAAAAUUUAUGCUCAGAUCCAUUGGAUAUCACCGCAGAUAUGAGAAAAUUCACGUCAGCAAAAGGAAAUGGUAUAUGAGCAAAAAACCCGUCAGAAUUUGGGGAAAGGUGAAGCAAGCCACCCCAGAGCAAGGUAAGUUGAUCAUCCGAAAUUCUUGGGGGAACAAUAAAUAAAGGAAAAAGGAUACCCGAGUUGGAAACGGUAUCCUCAAGUCAUACUUGUUCCCAGAGCAACUAAAUCUCGAGGACGAGAUUUCUUUAAGGGGAUAAGAGUUGUAACAGCCUGGAUUCUGGCCCUUACCUUUUUCUUUUGAUUUAUUUGAUUUUUGCUCUGUUUUUCUUUUUGAAGUGGUUCUGUGGCCUUGCCACCUGGAAAAUCAUCCUCAUUCCCCCUCCCAAGUGGCUCCGCAUUCUCAAAACCUUGCCAAGCUCAUGUCACUUCACUCCUUGACCAAACCCUAAAAUCUUUUCUAGGGAAUAUUCCUUUUCCUAAUAAAGGAAUAACCCUAUCUGCCCUAGGUUAUGAAGCAACCCAUAUUUCUGUCCAUCCAAAAAUUCCCAAUUAAUUCUCAAAAUUCCUUUGGGUCAUAUGUUCAAAUAUGCCCAAACUUCCCUGUCCUAGCCCAAGAAUAAUUCCCCAAUAAUUAUUCUUCAUUUCUGUCCUGAAUGGCACUUUGUGAAGGAAGUGUCAUUUAUAUUUUCCUAGUGGCUCCCAAGAUUUUUGGGCAUGCUUAUAUGUCCAAAUAAUUGCCUCAUGCACAAGUUCAACUUUAUUUGCCUAGCCAAUCUUCCUUAGUGAAUUUUCAAAGUUUCUGUCAAACAGAAGGCUUUGUGAAGGAAGUACUAUCUAGGAGUAUCCAAAUGAGUUAAACUUUUGCACACUCCUUAAUGUGCUCAUAUUAACCCCCUACACCCAUUUGCAGCCUCAUCCAAUCAUCUAUGUGAGCACAGGAGCAAAUAUUUGAUUCUAGCAAUAUUUUCAGGUUAUGAAGCAAGUGUAUUUUAUAUUGCUUAAAAAAUCCUGAUAAAUUAACAGAUCAUUCUUCUACCCAUAAAACAUCUCUCCACCCAAUUUGGCAUCAUUUCAUGGAUCCAUUUGAUCACCAAAAUUAUUUCAAGUUUCUGGACAGAAAUGAUGCUUGUGAAGCAAGUGCCAUUUUGGCUUAUCCAUUUGGCAUGAGCUUUUUACAGCAUCUUUAUAUGUCCAUAUCAUGAGGAUUUGCCAAGUUGCAUCCCAUUCCAUAACACCAUAUGAGUGCAUCAUCCAAAUCAUGAUUCUGGACCAAUUUUGGGGUUACACAGCAACUAUAUUAGUUUGUGCUCCAUUAUGCACCAAAACCUCCAGGAUCAUAAUCCUUUUGUAGUUAAUCAUCCUAAACAACACCAUUUGACCCAAUCAGUUUCUUGUUGAUCAGCAGUCCAAGUUUGAUGCAGUAAACUUCAGAGCUUAGUUACCAUUCAACCAUAGCACACCAGAUCAAGCCAUGGCAUCAUAAAUGAUCCACCCUGGAAGGACUAGCUCCCAGACAUAGUUUGCCAUCCUCUACAGCCCUCCCCGUGCCAUGUCGUGUGGUGACCGCGCAGCUGGCAUGCACAUUUACGCGCUCUGUGCACUGUGGCAUAUCCAGAGCACCGUUUGUGCUUUGGCACCGCUCCCUCUCGUCGUCUUAGAGCUCGUGAGCAUGUCCAGUGGCUGCAUCUCGUCGUCGUCGUUCCCCUGGACCCCCCUCCCCCUCCAUCAGCUUCCUCACCGACGCAAACCGCCGCGUGCCCACGGACGUACAGUGGCGUUUUGGCUCGGUUCGUCGCCGUCGUCUUCCUCCCUGCGCUCCCUUGGCCGCCUCUUCCCCGUGAGCUCUCCCUCCUGUCCCCUCUCGUCGCCUAACUCCGAGCUCAUGCGUGUGCACACGCGUCCGCGGCGCCGGACACGUAGCCACGGUGACGCCAGCUCGGCCUCCUCGCCUCGCGCCUAUUUAAGGCCUCCCCUGAGCCCUCCGAGCGCUCCAAGCUCUUCCUCACCCUCCCAGCAACCUCCCCGACCCAUCCGUUCGACUCCAGAGCCCCUCAUCGCCUCGGUUGGCCGCCAUGGCCGCCGCGGCCACACUUCCCGAUUGGCUCAAGCCGGAGCCCCUCUUCUCAUUCCGCCUUCACUAGUAGCUCAACCAGACCCCGACGAACCUCUCCCAUCCCUCUUUUCCUCGCCGGAGCCGCUGUGGCCACACGCCCAAGUUUCGGCCGCCGCCCUCGUUCUUGGUCGCCGCAAGCCAUCGUCGUUCCGCUCCGUCCUGGCGCAGCUGCGGGGUGCAGACGGGUGCGGCACGUCUCGUCGCACUCGCUGGUGCUCUUACUCCCGCGGGAGGUGGCCGGAGAUGGCUGGGCCGGCGCCGGCCUCGCUGCUGCCUCCUCUGCUCUGCGGGCGCGCAUCGGGCGACAGGAAGGAGAUGAGGCUGCUCCCUGCUAGCUGGCCGUGGACCCCGCGAUCCCACCUGGCAGUGUCUCAAGCCGCGGCCCUGCCCCUGCUGACUCGAUUAAGUGGAGGCGUAAACCCGUGAGUGCGUUUCCGCUUUCAGAAAGCGUCUUUUCCUUCUCCUUCAGCCAAACUACGCUUCCCUUACCUGAAAGCGUAUUCUGUGUCUAUUUCAGCAAGGAAUGCGUUUUCCCUGAAGCGAAGGCGUAUUCAUUAAAGUACGCUUUCUGUUUUUCUGUCCAGGCUCAAUUUGUUAAGAAUUUUCUUACAGAUAGGUCUCUGGCAGAAAAACAAGUGUAUCUUUUCAACCGUAGCUCCAAAUCAGGUGAUUCCAAAGCCCACGUCUUCGUUUUGUCGAGCCCGUUCUGAUGGAACCAUUUUCACCAUGUUUUGACAUUCCGAAUAUGACCAUUUUGCCCCUGCCCUUAUUCAGCCCCCUCUGAGAGAGUACGUUUUCCGGUGAUCCUUUCCGCGAGUUUCUCGCACUUUCUCCCGGUGAUUUCUUCCACCCCAGGCAAUCCACACCCUCCAUUUGCAUCACUGUAAUGCAGUGACAUGGUUUAAUCUAUUUGAACUUGUUUAAAAUAUUGCUUUAGCUACAUGACUUUGUGCAUGGCAUUUUCUCGGAGUAUUAUUUUGAUUUUGUUGUUGCCCUGCUAUUGUUUGGUUUACUAGGAGUUAUGUUUGUAGUUGAUGAGUAUCAUGUUGCCGUUGGAGUAUUAGUGGUUGAUAUUAUGAUUGUUUUCAUGAUGAUAUCUGUUAUUAUAUUUUGGAGUAUUACUUUGGAUGUCAUGCUGCCUUUGGAUUAUUAGUGGUUAGUAUGAUUAUUUUCAUGAUGCUAGUCGAUGUUCUAUUACUGUUGCUUGGAGUAUUAAUUUCUGAGAUGAUGUUUACGUGUGGAUCUUAGCUGGAUAGCUUUGUUCUUGUUAUUGGAGUAGUAAAGUUAUUGUUUUCAGAUUCAUCGUGAUAGAAAUGGUAUGCUAUCUUUGGAGUAUUUUGAUAUGAUGAUAUUAUGCUCAGAUUAUUUGUUGGAUAUUGCUAUGACUUGGAUUAUAGUUUGAUAGUUGAUAUCGGAGUAUCAGUUAUCACAAUUAUAUUUUUGGGGAUAAAACCCGUCAUUAAGUUAGUCAGGUGCCACCGAACCGGGCUUUCUCUAGUUCAACCACAUUUUCCUUUAUGGGAAUGCCCUAAUGCGAUGCUAUUGCCAUGUCUCUCGCCGGUGCCUCCAACGAGGGAAGGUUAUGGGCGCGCGCUACCCUGAUCAGGUAGGCGUACAUAAGCCUUGUGUGCCCGUAGUUGGAUUUUGCGUGCUUUUGUCCCCGUUUGGGACCGUUUUUGUUUGCCACGACGGUGGCCAUUUUGCCACGACGGUGGCCGUUGGUGCCUUUGGUAGGCACGGGCCACCCAGGACUGAACCCAAAGGGGGUGUUGGUCGGAGUGGCCGGGAGAGUGUCAUGGCAGUAGAUCGGUUUUGCCGGAACGCCGUUGGUCCACCCGAAUGGGAGUGCGAGGCCAUGGGUUCCGUGGUGUGGGUACAGUGAGCUACCUCUGCAGAGUGUGUGUUUAAGCUAUCGAUAGCCGCGUCCGUACUUGGUCACACCGUUCGAUGAACACUCACGUGACGGAAUGACUUAUAGUUGAUUUAUAAGAUGUAUGUGAGCAAUAACAGUUUGGCAGGAUGUUGAUGAUGAUGUUGAGAUGAUCUUGAGGAUGAUCAUUCAGUUUGUGAUGUGGUCACGAGGUGACCGUGUGGAUAUGUUGAUCACGAGGUGAUCAUGUGGAUGUUUUGAUCAUGAGGUGAUCAUAUGGACCACGAGGUGGUCGAGAUGGUAUAUUGCUUGGCCGAUUAGCCAAGAAUGAGAUUGUUGUUGGGAAUGAGAUGUUGGUUUAUCAGUAUUGUAGUAGUUUCAUAUCAUGCUUAGUAGUUGUUGUCGUAUCAUGGUAGAUGUUAAUUUAAUUAACCCGCUUAAUGCUAUGUUGUUGUCUUGCCUUGAUGCUUUUGGUUGUUGUGAGCUUGCAAGUACAUUCAAUGUACUGACCUGGCAUGUCAUGCCAGAUUGCAGGUGAUGCCGUGAUUGCUUGAUUGCUUGUCGUAGUUUCCGUUCAUGCGAGCUAGAUCGUGUCCCGGCCAGAGUCCCUGCGGAGUGGAGCUCACCACCUUCGUCGUUGUUCCGCUGCUAGAAGAUUUUCACUACUUUGAGUUGUUCCGCUGCUAGCAUAGAGCAAGUGUAGUAUCGCAGGCGUAGUGUCGUCGUGCUGAUGUGAACCUUUGUAACAUCAGACCUUUGUAUUUAUUCUUAUAAUAAGAGCUGAUUUGUUCUAUGUCAAGCAGUGCCGUAUUCCAGAGACUUCUCCUCGAUCUCUGGGCUGGAAUACGGGGCGUUCUGGUUUCUCUGAGCCGGGGUGCCACA
rnacentral:lncRNA from 1 species